UGAGGAAUAUUGGUCAAUGGGCGCAAGCCUGAACCAGCCAUCCCGCGUGCAGGAAGACGGCCCUAUGGGUUGUAAACUGCUUUUCCAGGGGGAGAAACUUGCGCACGUGUUGCGCAAUUGACGGUACCCUGGGAAUAAGCAUCGGCUAACUCCGUGCAAGCAGCCGAGGUAAUACGGAGGAUGCGAGCGUUAUCCGGAUUCAUUGGGUUUAAAGGGUGCGUAGGCGGACUAUUAAGUCAGUGGUUAAAUCCUGCAGCUUAACUGCAGAACUGCCAUUGAUACUUAUAGCCUUGAGUUUGGUUAAGGUAGGCGGAAUGUGUAAUGUAGCGGUGAAAUGCUUAGAUAUUACACAGAACACCAAUUGCGUAGGCAGCUUACUGAGCCGACACUGACGCUGAGGCACGAAAGCGUGGGGAUCGAACA
rnacentral:rRNA from 1 species